GAUGAGAGCGGCGUACGGGUGCGGAACAUGUGUGCAAUCUGCCCUUAUCAAGGGGAUAGCCCAGAGAAAUCUGGAUUAAUACCCUAUAACAUAUGGGAUGGCAUCAUUUCACAUUAAAAGCUACGGCGGAUAAGGAUGAGCACGCACAAGAUUAGCUAGUUGGUAAGGUAACGGCUUACCAAGGCGACGAUCUUUAGGGGGCCUGAGAGGGUGAUCCCCCACACUGGGACUGAGACACGGCCCAGACUCC
rnacentral:rRNA from 1 species